rnacentral:rRNA from 1 species
AGUGAACGCUGGCGGUAGGCCUAACACAUGCAAGUCGAACGGCAGCACAGUAAGAGCUUGCUCUUACGGGUGGCGAGUGGCGGACGGGUGAGGAAUACAUCGGAAUCUACUUUUUCGUGGGGGAUAACGUAGGGAAACUUACGCUAAUACCGCAUACGACCUACGGGUGAAAGCAGGGGAUCUUCGGACCUUGCGCGAUUGAAUGAGCCGAUGUCGGAUUAGCUAGUUGGCGGGGUAAAGGCCCACCAAGGCGACGAUCCGUAGCUGGUCUGAGAGGAUGAUCAGCCACACUGGAACUGAGACACGGCCCAGACUCCUACGGGAGGCAGCAGUGGGGAAUAUUGGACAAGGGGCGCAAGCCUGAUCCAGCCAUACCGCGUGGGUGAAGAAGGACUUCGGGUUGUAAAGCCCUUUUGUUGGGAAAGAAAAGCAGCAGGUUAAUACCCCGCUGUUCUGACGGUACCCAAAGAAUAAGCACCGGCUAACUUCAUG